AGAAAUAAGUUACAAGUAAGUUAUAUCAAUAAAAACAAAUUUUCGACGACUGAACUGUCAAAUUUCGUUUAUUAGUUCACAACGUUUGAAUGAAUUAGAGAAGAAUGAUUCCUUGAGUUUCUUGAAUACGACUGUACAUAGGGAUAGUGGUAUGCUUUAUACUAAUUGGUAUCGCAAACCAAAUUUUUCGGACAGUAGGUUCCAUGAAGUGAAUAUCAAUAUUGUAAAGAGCAUCCUUAUUAAUAAUUGUUAUCCAAUUGAUUUAAUUGAAAGAGUGAUUAAACAGUGCCUUGACACUCUAAGGUUUCGUAAGAACAACAAUGAAGAGACAUCACAAUCUACUCGGUAUAAACAUUUUAUUACAAUUCCUUUUUGCAAGUCAUACAGUGAUGACAUUAAUAGAAUUCUACGUAAUUCUGGUAUUGGUGUUGCACAUUCGGUGCCUAAGAAACUUAAUUGUAUUAUACGUAAAGGCAAGGAUAAAUUACUGCCGUGUAAGCAAACUAAUUUGGUUUACCAUAUAAAUUGUAACGAAUGUAAUGCUGUGUAUGUAGGGCAGACCAAGAGGUGGCUAGAAACCAGAGUUGGUGAACAUAGACAGAAUAUUAAGUGUUCGUUUCAGCAUUUCUCAGUGGUUUCUGAGCAUCGUCUUUCACUUAACCACGAAUUUGAUUGGUCUAGCCCUGAAAUUUUACAUAAGGAAACGCAUUGGCGUAAGCGAAACAUUGCUGAGAUGUUUUUUAUUAAAAAAUCAUUUAGCGCAAUUAAUCUUCAGACUGAUACUGAAAAUUUGUCCACUAUAGUCUUAUUUUUGAUCCGAGACAAUAGAGUAACCUUGACAUGAGACCAUCUCGUGUUUGUCUGUGUUCGUUAUUCCGCCAGUAUCAUUCGUUUGAUACGGACGUGUUGGUAGCAUGUUCCAAGACUUCAAAUGGUCUUUGUAAAUUUCAAUUUAUUUCUUUCACUUGAAAAGGACCACACCCCAUAUGGUCGAAACGUUGUGAACUAAUAAACGAAAUUUGCCAGUUCAGUCGUCGAAAAUUUGUUUUUAUUGAAAUUUCUUAUUACUGGCGUACACAAUUAUAAUUUGUAAGUUAUAUCAAUGCAAGAUAUAACUUGCUUAAAAAACAUUUGUA
rnacentral:misc_RNA from 1 species